UCCUUUAGACACUCUAGCCUAC
rnacentral:misc_RNA from 1 species